rnacentral:rRNA from 1 species
AUUGAACGCUGGCGGCAUGCUUUACACAUGCAAGUCGAACGGUAACAGGCCGCAAGGUGCUGACGAGUGGCGAACGGGUGAGUAAUGCCUCGGAACGUGCCCAGGCGUGGGGGAUAACUAUCCGACAGGAUAGCUAAUACCGCAUACGAUCUGCGGAUGAAAGCGGGGACCUGCGGGCCCCGCGCGCUUGGAGCGGCCGAUGUCAGAUUAGGUAGUUGGUGGGGUAAAGGCUCACCAAGCCAACGAUCUGUAGCUGGUCUGAGAGAACGACCAGCCACACUGGGACUGAGACACGGCCCAGACUCCUACGGGAGGCAGCAGUGGGGAAUUUUGGACAAUGGGCGCAAGCCUGAUCCAGCAAUGCCGCGUGCAGGAAGAAGGCCUUCGGGUUGUAAACUGCUUUUGUACGGAACGAAACGGCUCCGGUUAAUACCUGGGGCUAAUGACGGUACCGUAAGAAUAAGCACCGGCUAACUACGUGCCAGCCGCCGCCGUAA